rnacentral:lncRNA from 1 species
CUCCUCUCAUAAUCACCCUUCCUCCAUCCUUGUUCAAUAUCAUCCUCUCUUGUCUGAAAAUCACCAUAAACAAUACAAAAACAACACAAAGUCACCAAUUUAGUCCUCAAAUUUGCAAUACACUAUUAACUUAGUUCCUAAAAAUAACAAAAUUUCAUUGAAUUAAAAAAAUUCUCACUCACAUUUUAUGUUUGACAAUUAUAGUACUAAAUUGAAUGGUUAAAAAGAUACUAAAAUAGCAUGAUCUACAAUUCAUUUUCAAAUAACUUAGAUAUGGUCUAACUCAACUCUUACAAAACAGAUUUGUGAGGUUAGAACUAUUGAUCACUUAUAAACACAUUUUCAAGCGUAUAUUAGUGUGAGACUAUUUAUUAACCAUAAUUGUAAAAUGUUAAUCAAAUUCGUCCUCUAAUUUCAACAAUGUGAGGAAUAAACUUGUACAAUACUACAAUUUAACCAAUAUAUGGAUAUUUACUCAAUCUCAAUGACUAAAUUAGCAAUUGAAUAAUAAAAAUUUCAUACAAUAAAUAAAAACUUAAAAGAGAGUUUGAGUUGAACCUUGUUGUAAACAAAAGAAACUUAGACAUCCUUGGCAAUGAGUUCACCAUUCACCAACUCUCUAUAAGCAGCAAUAGGCCAACUGAACCCUCUAAAAACCAAUCUAGAAGCAAGAGGAACAUCAAUAAUAAUCUCUUUCUGAGUAGGUUUCUUCUCAUCACGAAUAGCAAUCAAAUAACUCCUACCAACCCAUCCAAUCCAACCAGCAAUAUACAAAAACAAUAUCCCUGGUGUGAUAAACUCACCCCAAUGUCUUUGAUCACCAUUCACUAUCAAAUGUGGUAAACCAUCAGCACCACACAACAAACCUUGCUUUCCAUAGUUAUCAAACCUUCUCUUGGUUUUCUCAACUGUUGCUUUUAUGGCCAGCGCUGGAGCGCUGUCCGGAGCGUAAAGCUUGAGUGAUGAUUCAAGCUUUUUGAUUGAUUGUUUCUCACGUUUGGCGAAUUGUUUUGAUUCUCUGCAUGGUGUUAGGCCGGAGAUGUCGGCGACAGCGGGGAGUGGUGAUGAGAUGAGGAUUGAUGAGAGUGCUAGUGCUGCUGAGAAUGCUUUUAGAUUUGAGUUUACAUCGUUGGUUGGUUUUUCUUGGUUUGUGCUGCAGUGGAUGAUGUUGGUUGAGAGUUUUGGUUUUUGAGGUAAUUUUGGUCUUAGGGUUGAGGUGGGUUUGGAGAGGUUAGUUGGAAUUGUUAGAGACAUUUUUGUGUGGAAGAAGAAGAGAAGAGGGAGUGAAGGGUGUUGGAUUUGAUUUGUGU